GUGCUCACUUCGGUGGUACAUACACUAAAAUUGGAACGAUACAGAGAAGAUUAGCAUGGCCCCCUGUGCAAGGAUGACAUGCAAAUUCAUGAAGCAUUCCAUAAAAAA